AUAACACAUAUAGAUAUCCACUGUCUAGGCCUACUAUUCAACCAUUUAUGAAAUGACUACAGAAGAGGUAUCAUCAAGAUGACCAAGCUGAUUGGCUCUAGUGCAAGUGGGAGAUUGUUGGAAAUGUGCCCUAAAGCCAAUCAUGUGAUGAUACUUUAUGGACAUUUCACAUGUUAAACUAAUCUAGUUUUACAUAUAAAGGGCAAAGAUUAUUGUUU
rnacentral:lncRNA from 1 species